rnacentral:rRNA from 1 species
AACUUGAGAGUUUGAUCCUGGCUCAGAACGAACGCUGGCGGCAUGCCUAACACAUGCAAGUCGAACGAAGCCUUCGGGCUUAGUGGCGCACGGGUGCGUAACGCGUGGGAAUCUGCCUCUUGCUUCGGAAUAACAGUUAGAAAUGACUGCUAAUACCGGAUGAUGUCUUCGGACCAAAGAUUUAUCGGCAAGAGAUGAGCCCGCGUAGGAUUAGGUAGUUGGUGGGGUAAAGGCCUACCAAGCCGACGAUCCUUAGCUGGUCUGAGAG